rnacentral:rRNA from 1 species
GGUGACCUGCGGAGGGAUCAUUACACAAAAAAUAUGAAGGCUGUAUGCGGCUGUGUCUCUUUCGGGGGGCCAGCUUUUGCGGAGGCUGAAAUAUUUUUCACCCAUGUCUUUUGCGCACUUGUUGUUUCCUGGGCGGGUUUCGCCCGCCACCAGGACCACACCAUAAACCUUUUUUAUGCAGUUGCAAUCAGCGUCAGUAUAACAAAUGUAAAUCAUUUACAACUUUCAACAACGGAUCUCUUGGUUCUGGCAUCGAUGAAGAACGCAGCGAAAUGCGAUACGUAGUGUGAAUUGCAGAAUUCAGUGAAUCAUCGAAUCUUUGAACGCACAUUGCGCCCUUUGGUAUUCCAAAGGGCAUGCCUGUUCGAGCGUCAUUUGUACCUUCAAGCUUUGCUUGGUGUUGGGCGUCUUUUUUUUGUCUUGGGCCUUUUUGUGCCCUGAGACUCGCCUUAAAACGAUUGGCAGCCGGCCUACUGGUUUCGGAGCGCAGCACAUUUUUGCGCUUGCAAUCAGCAAAAGAGGCCAGCCAUCCAUCAAGACCAUUCUUCUCACUUUUGACCUCGGAUCAGGUAGGGAUACCCGCUGAACUUAAGCAUAUCAAUAAGCGGAGGAAAAGAAACCAACAGGGAUUGCCCUAGUAACGGCGAGUGAAGCGGCAACAGCUCAAAUUUGAAAUCUGGCUCUUUCAGAGUCCGAGUUGUAAUUUGCAGAGGGCGCUUUGGCUUUGGCAGCGGUCCAAGUUCCUUGGAACAGGACGUCACAGAGGG